AUUGAACGCUGGCGGCAGGCUUAACACAUGCAAGUCGAACGGGUAGCAAUACCAGUGGCGCACGGGUGAGUAAUGUAUAUGAAUCUGCCCUUAGGUGGGGGAUAGCUUGAAGAAAUUCGAAUUAAUCCCGCAUAAUGCCGAGAGGUGAAAGUCGCAAGACGCCAAAGGAUGAGCAUAUAUUCGAUUAGCUAGUUGGUAGGGUAAAAGCCUACCAAGGCGACGAUCGAUAGCUGGUCUGAGAGGAUGAUCAGCCACAGUGGAACUGAGACACGGUCCACACUCCUACGGGAGGCAGCAGUGGGGAAUAUUCCGCAAUGGGCGAAAGCCUGACGGAGCGAUACCGCGUGUAGGAUGAAGGCUUUAGGGUCGUAAACUACUGUCGUCGGGGAAGAAAGAAAUGACGGUACCCGAAAAGGAAGCACCGGCUAACUCUGUGCCAGCAGCCGCAGUAA
rnacentral:rRNA from 1 species